CNAGNAUNUUUNUAGUGAAACUGCGAAUGGCUCAUUAAAUCAGUUAUCGUUUAUUUGAUAGUUCCUUUACUACAUGGUAUAACUGUGGUAAUUCUAGAGCUAAUACAUGCUUAAAAUCUCGACCCUUUGGAAGAGAUGUAUUUAUUAGAUAAAAAAUCAAUGUCUUCGGACUCUUUGAUGAUUCAUAAUAACUUUUCGAAUCGCAUGGCCUUGUGCUGGCGAUGGUUCAUUCAAAUUUCUGCCCUAUCAACUUUCGAUGGUAGGAUAGUGGCCUACCAUGGUUUCAACGGGUANCGGGGAANGAGAAUACGACGGUAGUAUAGAGGACUACCGUGGUUACAACGGGUAACGGGGCAGCGACNAUUCAUUCGNUUUCUGCCCCUUCAACUCUCGAUGGUAGGAUAGAGGGCUAGCAUGGUCUCAACGGGUAACGGGGANAUUUNCUUCCGGGGUCGAGAUUUUNUGCAUGUAUCGGCUCUAGAAUAAUUUUGUUNUAGCAUGUAGUUUAGGAACUAUGUAAUNAUCGAUNACUGAUUNGAUGAGCCAUUCGCAGUUGACUGUACUANAUGCCUAUUUAGACNUGUUUGGUUUNUCUNUGAGACANGNAUNUGACUACA
rnacentral:rRNA from 1 species